rnacentral:rRNA from 1 species
GACGUAGGGCGCGAGCGUUGUCCGGAUUUAUUGGGCGUAAAGAGCUCGUAGGCGGCUCGUUGCGUCGGCUGUGAAAACCCGCAGCUCAACUGUGGGCUUGCAGCCGAUACGGGCGGGCUGGGAUUCGGUAGGGGAGACUGGAAUUCCUGGUGUAGCGGUGAAAUGCGCAGAUAUCAGGAGGAACACCGGUGGCGAAGGCGGGUCCCUGGGCAACUACUGACGCUGAGGAGCGAAAGCGUGGGGAGCGAACAGG